UCCCUCGUGGCGCAAUUGGCUAGCGCGUUAGACUGUUAUAGGCACUGCCUAAGCACAUCUGGAGGCUGGUGGUUCGAGCCCACCCGAGGGAG